rnacentral:lncRNA from 1 species
AUAUAUAUAUAAAAUUGAGCUAGAAUACUCUCAAAAGCAGUAAUUUCUUUGUGCUUUUGAGUUUCUAGUCCUUAAAUCUACUCAUUGAUUACUGAUAAUCUUUGGAUGAAACACUAUUCCACAUACUACAAUCUACUGCCAUUUAUCAUCAUCAUCUCAACCCUAUAUCUCUUCAUCCAAUGACUAAAACCUCAAAAGCACCAUUCCUUUCGUGCUUUUGAGAUCUCUCUCUCUCUCUCUCUCUCUCUCUCUCUCUCUCUCUCUCUCUCUCUAUAUAUAUAUAUAUAUAGUCCAGCUGUUAUACUAUCGGUAGCACCAAGUAUUUAGUGCUAUCAAGUUUUCUGCCGUUAAAUUAACCCUUCUGAUUAUUUUUAUUCAUUAGAUUAUACUAUUCAAUCAACCACCCACUCAAUCUUAGAGGUCCACAUCAUCCUAAUCGCACAUUUCUCAAUCCAAAGGCUAAAAAACCAAUAGGACCAAUAACUUGGUGCUAUUGAUAGUAUUCCAACAUAUAUAUAUAUAUAUAUAAAAUUGAACUAGAAUACUUUUAGAAACACCAAUCCCUUGGUGUUUCUAAGUUUCUAGCCUUUGGAUCUACUUCUUGGUUACUAAUAUCCUUUGGAUCAAAUACUAUUCCACCUAUCACCACCUACCACUAUCAUCUCAACCUCACAUCUCUCCAUCCAAUGGCUAAAAACUUAAAAACACCACCUUGAUGAUGCUUUUGAGAGUAUUCUAGCUCAACUAUAUAUAUAUAUAU